UCCGGCUUAUCACCGGCGGUUUCUUUAGAGUGCCCAACUAAAUGAUGGCAACUAAAGACGAGGGUUGCGCUCGUUGCGGGACUUAACCCAACAUCUCACGACACGAGCUGACGACAGCCAUGCAGCACCUGUCGAGCGGUCCCGAAGGACACCCCUCGUUUCUGAGGAGCUUCCGCUCGAUGUCAAGCCCAGGUAAGGUUCUUCGCGUCGCGUCGAAUUAAACCACAUGCUCCGCUGCUUGUGCGGGCCCCCGUCAAUUUCUUUGAGUUUUAACCUUGCGGCCGUACUCCCCAGGCGGAUGACUUAACGCGUUAGCUGCGCCACCGAAACCCUAAGGGCCCCGACAGCUAGUCAUCAUCGUUUACGGCGUGGACUAC
rnacentral:misc_RNA from 1 species